rnacentral:misc_RNA from 1 species
GGAAACUGGGUAGCGUUGAUUUGGUCUUCCUGGAACGACUCUGAAACCUCUCUCUCUUUCUCUGCCGUGUAGAGUCGAUGAGCCAUAAGCGCGGCUUCUGUGAAGGAGCAGAGCCCACAUUUUCAUGUUGAGCAAGUUGCUUAGAAGUUACAGAUAUGGAAUCAUUCACUUCUCUAGAGUUGCCAUCAUUGACUGUCCCUCUUCGUACCUUUUUAAAUUCACAGAUUAUCAUCUAGCUUUUUGGCUUUUGCUUCUCUCUAUCGUGUCAACCCAGCCCUUCCUGUUUUUAUUUGAUUUCCUAGCUAUAACAGGAGUUUCAAUCAUCUUUAAUAAGCCAAAGAUGCGAAACAACAGCGUUAAGGCAAAGGCAAAGGCAGGCACUGCAUGCACUUGUUUUCUGUUUCCUGCUUCUUCUCUUUGCCAGUGACUAAACUGCCCAUACCCAGGAUUAUAUAUAGGAUAUAUAUACACAUCAUGUCAUCUCUUUCAGC